rnacentral:rRNA from 1 species
GAUUAAGCCAUGCAUGUCUAAGUACAAACCGAAAUAAGGUGAAACCGCGAAUGGCUCAUUAAAUCAGUUAUGGUUCCUUGGACUGUACGUAAUCACUUGGAUAUCCCUGGUAAUUCUAGAGCUAAUACAUGCAGCAGAGCUCCGACCCCUCGGGGAACGAGCGCUUUUAUUAGACCAAGACCAACCGGGCCUCACGGCUCGCAAGUCCUGGUGACUCUGGAUAACUUUGGGCUGAUCGCACGGGCUCGUCCCGGCGACGCAUCUUUCAAGUGUCUGCCUUAUCAACUGUCGAUGGUAGCCCACGCGGCUACCAUGGUUGUUACGGGUAACGGGGAAUCAGGGUUCGAUUCCGGAGAGGGAGCCUGAGAAACGGCUACCACAUCCAAGGAAGGCAGCAGGCGCGCAAAUUACCCAAUCCCCGAACGGGGAGGUAGUGACGAAAAAUAACAAUACGGGACUCAUUCGAGACCCCGUAAUUGGAAUGAGUACAAUUUAAGUCCUUUAACGAGGACCCACUGGAGGAAAAGUCCGGUGCCAGCACCCGCGGUAACUCCGGCUCCAGUAGCGUAUAUUAAAGUUAUUGCGGUUAAAAAGCUCGUAGUUGGAUCUCAGUUCCAGACAAGCGGUCCGCCUAACGGUGGUCACUGCCUGGCCUGAACAAACCAGCCGGUUUCCCUCGAUGAUCUUCAUUGAUUGUCUUGGGUGACCGGCACAUUUACUUUGAAAAAAUUAGAGUGCUCAAAGCAGGCGCAACGCCUGAAUAAUGGUGCAUGGAAUAAUGGAAUAGGACCUCGGUUCUAUUUUGUUGGUUUACGGAUCUCGAGGUAAUGAUUAAGAGGGACAGACGGGGGCAUUCGUAUUGCGACGCUAGAGGUGAAAUUCUUGGACCGUCGCAAGACGCACUACUGCGAAAGCAUUUGCCAAGAAUGUCUCCAUUAAUCAAGAACGAAAGUUAGAGGCUCGAAGGCGAUCAGAUACCGCCCUAGUUCUAACCAUAAACGAUGCCAACCAGCAAUCCGCUUGGGUUCCUCAAAUGACUCGGCGGGCAGCUUCCGGGAAACCAAAGUUUUUGGGUUCCGGGGGUAGUAUGGUUGCAAAGCUGAAACUUAAAGGAAUUGACGGAAGGGCACCACAAGGAGUGGAGCUUGCGGCUCAAUUUGACUCAACACGGGGUAAUCCACCCAGCCCGGACACUAGAAGGAUUGACAGAUUAAGAGCUCUUUCUUGAUUCAGUGGAAGGUGGUGCAUGGCCGUUCUUAGUUGGUGGAGCGAUUUGUCUGAUUAAUUUCGUUAACGAACGAGACUCUAGCCUGCUAAAUAGACGUUCCGAUCACUCAUGUCGGACGCUCUUCUUAGAGGGACAAGCGGCGUUUAGCCGCGCGAGACAGAGCAAUAACAGGUCUGUGAUGCCCUUAGAUGUCCGGGGCUGCACGCGUGCUACACUGAAGGAAUCAGCGUGUGAUGACCCUGUCCGGCAGGACUGGGUAACCCGUUGAACCUCCUUCGUGAUUGGGAUAGGGGCUUGUAAUUGUCCCCCUCGAACGAGGAAUUCCCAGUAAGCACGAGUCAAAAACUCGUGUUGACUAUGUCCCUGCCCUUUGUACACACCGCCCGUCGCUGCUACCGAUUGAGCGAUUUAGUGAGGUCUUCGGACUGGCGCUCGGAGCGGCUUCCGCCGCGCCGACGUGCCGGAAAGAUGACCGAACUUGACCGCUUAGAGGAAGUAAAAGUCG